AUUCAUUCCAUAGUAAUGAGUCUAUGGACUCUAGGCACGUGCAUUGCAUAUGAAGUAAUGCAGAAGUGCAACGGAAAUACAGAUUGAAAAGGAGGAAAAGAAAGAAGACAAAAGUUACAUAACUGAUGUGAUGAUUAUAUAAAUCACUUAUUGAAGUUGAGAGAAAGCAUGCAUGCAGAAAAAUCUUAGAUGGUGAUUGAAGGUGGUGGCUAUGGCAGUGGGGUUGGAGGCAGCGAUGGGAUGUCUAUAGGUGGGAUGAUAAUAGGUGAGAAUUCAAUGGGUGGGAUUUGGAGAGGUGGGAGUUGUAUGGGUGGAAAGACGAAAGGUGGGAGUUGUAUGGGUGGGAUGUCGAUAGGUGGGAGUUGUAUGGGUGAGAUGUUGAGAGGUGGAAGUUGAAUAGGUGGAAUGACCACAGGUGCGAGUUGCAGAGCUUCGAUCGGAGGUGGUAAUGGGAAUAGAGGCGGACUUGCCGCUAAUGUGAUGUCCAUGGUUGAAAAGGAAAUAGCAAUCAUUAAAGCAAACAUGGUGCAACGAUGAGAAGCCAUCACUUAGUUGUAGAUAUGCUGGAAGAGCG
rnacentral:sRNA from 1 species